AGCCCUACUUACCAGGUGAUUCUGGGAAAUGUGGAUGAAGAGAGCCACAGCCCACAUUAUUCCUCCCCCACCUCCUGUCUAAGGUUCUUAAUCUUGUGCCAUUCCCUAUCCUGUCUGCUAGUAGACAUUGCUCAAGUGGUUAUCUUGUCCUGUCUUCUGUCUUCAACAUCCCCCUUUCUUCCACCUGUCUCUAAACAACUUGCAGACCCUGAAGACAAGCCACGAAAGCAAAGGCAGACAAGUGGGACCAGGUCAGACUGAAACAGCAAAAUGACCAGGCAACCCGUAGAGUGGGGGAAAAUAUUUGCAAGCCUUAUAUCUGAGUAGUGGUAAAUAUUUGAAUUAUAUAAGAAAGACCUACAAUUCAAUAGCAAAAACAAAAAGAAAUCCAAUUUUGAAAAUUGGGAAAGGACCUGAUAGACAUUUCUCCAAAGAAGACCUACAAAUGGACAACAGUUAUACCAAAAGGUGCUCAACAUCAGUAAUUACCAACUAAAUGCAAAUCAAAACCACAAGAUAACACCUCACACCUGUUAAGAUGACAAUUAUC
rnacentral:lncRNA from 1 species